CUAGAUCUUAAGUAAUGUAUAGUUGCCGUCUUGUUACAAUUAACACUGUAUGACAAGCCGUGCAUGAGAUUCAACAGGCGUUCAUUAAAGGUUAGAUCCAAGAUGCUGUAUCUCUUCAUCUCCUCACUCUCCUUCUUUCUCCCAAAGCACUGUUCAUGUUUAUACGGUGCUUUACAUUUUUAAAGCACUCUGCAAACAUUAACUAAUUAAUCCUCACAGCCCACUAUACAUAUGCUUUAAUUAAUUAGCUCUCAUUUACUUAACUCACACUGUCUCAUUAAAUAUAAAUUGAAUGUAUGUUUGGGAACUUUAACUAGAAACAUUACUGGGGAUUUAUACAAAGCACGAAUGCAAAAUAUGUUAAUAGUAGCUGGAGGCAGCAAAAUUCAAGUAUCAAGGUAUUUAGCAAAAAAUACGUUGUGGUGUCAGUGAGCAGACUCAGACAAUUAGCUGUUCCUAUAAAAUGCAUAUGUUGUCACGGCCUUGAAGUCAUCGCUCACUCUGCGUUGUUGCCAUAGCAAUCCUGGUAAUUUGCAUCCCAUAAUGCCCAUCUAUGCACUUUGUUCCAUUAGUUUAAUUUUUCAGACUUGCAGAAGCUUGGUGCUGUGUGGGCUGGAAGCUGGCUGUGAGUUGCUCGGAUCUGGAGAGCACGGAUACAGGCAUGUAAAUGCCAGUGCUCGGACUGGCUGUGGACACUGGGUAGCCUGCUGCAUGACAACCCCUCAGCAAAGCAGCACUAAGACCGUGGAAGUCCUCAAAGGAAUCUCAGGGAAAGCAAGAGGAAGUCUACGUCAACCCUCAAAGCUUGGCAGAAGCAAACACGACAGAGCAUGCAUUGAUUUCUUAGAGAAACAAAGAAGAAACCAGGCUGUUCACAGAAAAUCUCCCUCUUUGGUGGCUGGAUGUGACCGCGGGGAGGAAGGGGACGGCUGCUGUGACCAGGGGACUGCUGGCAGGGGGGCGGCCCUGUGCUGCUCAUCAGCUGUCCCCAGCUAGGAGGACCAGGAUCCGCCGUGGGAACCUCGUCCCCUUUGCCAGGACGGGAUGCUGGGGACAGGGGUGUCCCCUUUUGGGUGAUUCCUCCUGUGCUGUGUGCCCUAAGCUGCGGCUGUGUGCGCUGCUCGGUGCUCGCUAACUUUCUCUCAACAAGCACCUGGCUUCGGUGGUGAGGACAGCAAUUGCUGUGCAAACCCGUGAAGCAUCUGGAGGGGCUGUUUGGCUCGGAGCUUCUCCUGGCGCUGCAAAAAGUGGGGCAGCCUUCCUCUGCCUGUUAGAUUUUUUACAGUGAAUGGAUUUUGAAGACAAAAG
rnacentral:lncRNA from 1 species